rnacentral:rRNA from 1 species
CUGGCAGUCAGAGGCGAUGAAGGGCGUGCUAAUCUGCGAUAAGCGCCGGUAAGGUGAUAUGAACCGUUAUAACCGGCGAUACCCGAAUGGGGAAACCCAGUGUGACUCGUCACACUAUCAUUAACUGAAUCCAUAGGUUAAUGAGGCGAACCGGGGGAACUGAAACAUCUAAGUACCCCGAGGAAAAGAAAUCAACCGAGAUUCCCCCAGUAGCGGCGAGCGAACGGGGAGGAGCCCAGAGCCUGAAUCAGCAUGUGUGUUAGUGGAAGCGUCUGGAAAGGCGCGCGAUACAGGGUGACAGCCCCGUACACAAAAGCGCAUGUGCUGUGAGCUCGAUGAGUAGGGCGGGACACGUGGUAUCCUGUCUGAAUAUGGGGGGACCAUCCUCCAAGGCUAAAUACUCCUGACUGACCGAUAGUGAACCAGUACCGUGAGGGAAAGGCGAAAAGAACCCCGGCGAGGGGAGUGAAAAAGAACCUGAAACCGUGUACGUACAAGCAGUGGGAGCACAGGUUUACCUGUGUGACUGCGUACCUUUUGUAUAAUGGGUCAGCGACUUAUAUUCUGUAGCAAGGUUAACCGCAUAGGGGAGCCGGAGGGAAACC